rnacentral:lncRNA from 1 species
AGUGAGAGAAGCUCUCACCUCUCUCUAGAAUUUUCUGGAAAAUCAGAAGAUGAUCUUCAUCUUCUCUGGCGAGCUUCACCGCUCCGGUGUGGUGGUUUGCCGGCCCAACAGGGCGGCGCCGCCGCACCGGAGAUGAGAAACUUCUCCGUUUUCAAAUUUUUUUACAGAUUAAGAUAUCAUUUUUUAUUUUAAACACGAAUCUGAAC